CCUGUACCGCCGUCCUGCCCCAUCCACCCAUGCUCCACUCCGACGGCGACGAUGACCUGUAGGCGAAGGGCGACGACGCAGAGGAGAGGGAGGUGCGGCAGCAUACGGGAGAGGGUCACCAGCUAGCGUCGGCCUGUGCUGGUGAGGUCGGGCUCCACCGUUCCUGUCCCUCGUCCUCACGCGGCCUCUCUUGGUCACUGGCGCUGCAGUUGCGCGGGGCGUGAGGAUAGAGAUGUUGGCCCUCGUCCAGGAACGCGGCGUCCAUGGCCGCUCCUCUCCUCCCGAUUUGCCUCCUCUUCUUUGUGCGCGCCGGCCGCUGCAGCUCCUCGCGCCGCCUCCGUCCAUCCCACCUCUCUUGUUUUCCUCCUCUCUCAGAUCGGGCGCCUUCGCUCGCCGUGGUUCCAGAUCGGGCGGAUUGGAGGAGCAGUGGAGGGCGAGGCCUGGAGCUCCAUCGGCAGCGCGCGCUAGACUGGUGCCAGGCUGCAUCUUCUCCUACCUCCGUUCUGGUGCCUCCUCCUACCCGCGUAAACAGCGAGCGGAGGGCGUAAUCACGUAAGUGCCAGAGUUUGGAGGUGGAUGUUACUUCAGGAAGGAAGUUGGUUACAAUUUUUCAUUUGUUUGAUGCAGCAGGGACAAACUAAUUUGCAGAAUUUCUUGGUGUUGCGAUCUCUCCCCAUCUUAGCAUUGUCUUUCGUUGGAAGGGGAGGAAAUUUGUGUAUAUCACACCUAUCAGCUGCAUCCCACAAAGAGGAAUUUUGUGUCAGACAUUGCCAUUGGAGAAGCUUUGACAGGAAAUGGAUUGUAAUUUGCAAGUGAGGUGGGGCUUUUGAUUGGGCCUUGUGGUGGUUGGAUCCGCUAACAGAUAGGGAGAAGCAUGAUAGAUCGGGCAGAGAUCGCAGGUCGCGGCCAUGGGAGAGCAGGGGAGGCGUGGUUUACGUGAUGGAUAUGUAGUAGGGGAGGGUGAGGAGGACGGGCAUGUGGGAAGGCACAGCAAUGCCGGAGCUAAAGCGGGCGCUUGUGUCACGGUGGUGCUUGCUGGUCAUCGUCCAUAAUCUCCAAGUGCAGAUUGGACGAUGAAGAGACGAGGAAGGAUGUUAGGAAGAGUGAAGAACAAGGCGGACCUUCUCUGGUGGAAGAACAAGAUGAACCCUCUUUUGUGGGUCCUGUUUUUGGCAAAAUAUGUGGGGACUCGAAUGACAAUGAGCAGGUGCCAUUAAUUCCUACAAUGGCCUUUUUCUUCUUCUCAGAAGCCAGAUAAUGUUCAGUUGGAAGAGAUGGAUAUGAGGUGCGUGCAAGUACAAGUGUGCAAUGACAGAAUAGGUGGCGGAAUGGCAAGGCGUCUGGUCAGAUGACCUGUGUCUGUGGUCAGUUGGUGGAUCUCGACUACAGGAACAUCACCGAUGCAAUCCAUAGUAGAUUGAUGAAUCCAUUCUGAUGAGCUUUGUAAAUAUUAGAUAAAAUUUGAUGUUGUCCCCUUGAGAUUAAACGGAUGCGUCACACUAUCAGACGAAAUGCGUGUUACAUCAAACAAAAUCUAUGAUCGAGCUACCUUGGACCCUACUGCUUCAAGCACUAUCUGUAAUCUCAAAUAGACUCUUAUGGAAAUACAUGAUGUUGUGGUUGCGCUUCAGAGCAUGACUAGCGUGGCAUGUCUCUCAUUGCAGAAGAAAGGCAUAUGAUUCAGACUCAGAUUCAAGCUGCAUUGAGGGUUAUGCUUGAGACAUGGAUGAUGGCUACAACCACUAUGUGCGACCGUAGGCUGUGGCGGAGACAGGCCCCAGGCAGCCCGAGCGGAUGCCUGAGGCAUGAGGCUGAUUCCCUUCGUAUACUGUAGAGAACACUGUAGCUACAGUGUUGCAGUGCUUCCUAGGCCGGCCGGGGGCGUGGCUGAAUCCUGGCGCCGCCACUGACCAUAGGCAUGCCUGCUUAGACGAUGAAAUUAUGUUCAAUACUGCUGGGACAUGUAACGAUGACUCAACUUAAUACCACCACCUUCUCGCGUCUUGGUCCUUGCUGCGAGCAAGACAAUGCAUCUCUGGCCUUUGCUAAUAUAGCUUACUUUUAUAAAGCCAAUGUAUGCCAUUAUCAAGUGAUAUGAAUAUCUUCUUUUAAGCUACCAAGUGCCAUGUAAUGGAACAUAAACAUCUAUUAAGUUAGUUCUAAAUCAAUCUCAUAUGCAUUGUUUGAAUACUCGGUUCGCUCUCACUUUUUGCGCCAUGGGUAUUCCUUAAUUUUUCAUAUGAAAGGUUUAGAAUUAUUACCCUCAGUGCUUUCUAAAACUCGAAGUUACUAACAAAUGUAAAGAUUUAUGUUAUAAAAGGUUUAGAAUCAUUACCCUUGAUGCUUAAAUUUGGACCAUGCACCUUACUUAGGUAAACAUAGAGCCAAAUGGCACAUUGUCCAAAUACACGUUCAAAACACUUCUGGUUUGACAUGGUCUCUAUCCUUGAUCAAACAUAAAGUUACUAAAAAAGGCAAAUAUUUUCAACGCGGACAUGGUUUCAAAUGGGUCUCUGCGCUAUUUGGCGCACCGGGUCAUCUAGUUGUAUAAACGAAUAAAGCACUGAUGCGCUGUAAUCAGACAAGGGAUAGGGAAAAUAUUCCAAUUAGGGAAUGAAGAAAAAAUAAACUCGUUCACAAGAUUGCAAAGGUUCUACCUGAACAGACCAAAUACAUUUUUUUAAACGAGAGGCAAAGUAUUUGCCUUUUUCAUUAAUUAAGAAGAAGAGAAUUGCUCGGUUAAUUGACGAAAAAUCGGGCUAAAACCGAUACAACCCAACCCACAUGACAUGGGCACCACCGGCCAUCCUGGCCACCGACAUGGGACACAACCCCGAUGACACAUGCCACCAGAUGGCCACACACGCAAGCAACCGACAGCUCCGACUUUGACGGCGAGCCUCACAAGGAAGAUAUGCAGGACUUGCGCC